UACACUCUAUGCUGUCACAGCAUCCACAACUGAUCCUCUCUCUCUGAAUUAACUAUUUGAUAAAGCCAAUCUUUAAAUCGCUGUUGCAUAGGAUCUCGGGUGGGAAGAAGCGAUGAAUCGAUACAUGGCAUUGUGAAGAAAAGAAGAACAAAUUCACAUUGCACGUGAGACUCGGUUAGAAAGACUGAGUUUCUGCAUUCAUAAGAAUGUCACACCCCGGGGAUCAUGAUAAAGAAAACAUAUGUCGUGAAAAUGACUGAAAGAACCAAAGAAGUAUUUGAUCUUCCAGCCAGCUUAGCCUGGUACUACCAUACUAGCAGUGCUACCAAGUACCAGCCCUCCAUAUUUUCUGUAUUUGUACGGAAAAUCACUCCUUGUGCGCACUACAGAAAUUGAGCAAAUGGUAUAGAAAAUCGGAGAGGAUCAAUCAGCUGUGUAGAAGCAUUGCAAGUGUAAGCUGAGUGAUGAAUAGUCUUGUACCAAAGCGAGUGCAUGCCGUACCACAACAACAUGUACAUGUAGCACAAAAAUAAUAAUGUCGUGAGUGCAAGUCACACAUGUUUUACACUACCAAAUGCAGCCACCGACAUGCAUGUGCGUGUCAAAAAACAUUACAGUGCAAGUAUGCAUGCAAUGUACACGGCAGUACGCAAAACACUGCAAGAUACGGAAAAUCAGAAGUUUGAGUACGCAAAACAGACUCAAUUGGUGGGCAGCUCUGUACUGGCCUGUACGGAGGGAGUGAAUCUCAAUGUGUGCAAUGCACGCACUUUGGCCGACAGUGAAAACUAUGCAAGUCGUGUUGGUUUGCAGGAUGAAUGUGAGUCCUUUUAGACAAGCGCCUUAGUGGAGUAGCCCACCGAAAGAAGAGUACUUGACACCGCGAAGUGGAGUCUGCGCAUACAACAGAUUGCCAUCUGUUGAUGAAUACCACUCUGAGGCACUCUCACGAGCGAAGGUGUUUGAGAAUCCAUGUCGGAAUGAUGGUCAUGUUGGCCUAAAGGUGCAUUACAUUGCCGAUACUCGCCACCUCCACCCUGGAACAUGUUCAAUUUCUGUUUCUCGUAUGGAAGGACCGAACAGGUUGUUUUCCUGUCUCAGUGGACCACUCAAGACUGAACAGCACUGAUGGAAGAAGAUUUGCCGUGAAUCUCGUUCACAUAAUCAGCCUGUUUAAUUGCUGUACUGAGGUGACUGCUUCAUAACAAUGACCAUGCAGCAUUAAUUUUGGAUAGUAUUGCAGUGCCCCUAAAAUUGGAGAAUAUCGAAUUUCUCUGAUAGCAUUGUGAUUCAUUUGUGAAUAAACAUCACUACUCUUUUUGAGUAGCAUAGCAAUGACAGAGUUGGUUUAAUGUAUGACAAAAUGGAGCCGCUUUUUAA